rnacentral:rRNA from 1 species
GAUGAACGCUGGCGGCGUGCCUAAUACAUGCAAGUCGAGCGAACAGACGAGGAGCUUGCUCCUCUGACGUUAGCGGCGGACGGGUGAGUAACACGUGGAUAACCUACCUAUAAGACUGGGAUAACUUCGGGAAACCGUAGCUAAUACCGGAUAAUAUAUUGAACCGCAUGGUUCAAUAGUGAAAGACGGUUUUGCUGUCACUUAUAGAUGGCUCCGCGCCGCAUUAGCUGGUUGGUAAGGUAACGGCUUACCAAGGCAACGAUGCGUAGCCGACCUGAGAGGGUGGUCGGACACACUGUAACUGAGACACGGUCCAGACUCCUACGGUGGGCAGCAGUAGGGAAUCUUCCGCAAUGGGCGAAAGCCUGACGGAGCAACGCCGCGUGAGUGAUGAAGGUCUUCGGAUCGUAAAACUCUGUUAUUAGGGAAGAACAAAUGUGUAAGUAACUAUGCACGUCUUGACGGUACCUAAUCAGAAAGCCACGGCUAACUACGUG